GUUGAGGCUCUGGAUGAUCUCGCUCAGCACGGUGGCCGAGUCACAGCCCACGCCGUCCAGGGCACCCACAGCCGUCAGAUGCACCGUCCCCGCAAAGCUGCGUAGGGUGGCCACGUGGUUCAGAAAAUCACAAGGGCACUGAAGCUGGCAGCGAAUUACAUUGUGAGUCUGGACCGUGGGAUUCAGCCACCUGUGUAUUAGACCAGCGCCUCCUAUCUCGUGGAUGGAGUGGGUCUCACCUACGCACACCGAAUGACCGCACUAAGAAACCCAUCACGGUGGUAAAAUAAUAAAUACAUUUCUCCAUAAA